rnacentral:rRNA from 1 species
AUUGAACGCUGGCGGCAUGCCUUACACAUGCGAGUCGAACGGCAGCACGGGUGCUUGCACCUGGUGGCGAGUGGCGAACGGGUGAGUAAUAUAUCGGAACGUACCUUAUCGUGGGGGAUAACGCAGCGAAAGCUGUGCUAAUACCGCAUAAGCCCUAAGGGGGAAAGCAGGGGACCGUAAGGCCUUGCGCGAUUAGAGCGGCCGAUACCUGAUUAGCUAGUUGGUAAGGUAAAGGCUCACCAAGGCAACGAUCAGUAGCUGGUCUGAGAGGACGAUCAGCCACACUGGGACUGAGACACGGCCCAGACUCCUACGGGAGGCAGCAGUGGGGAAUUUUGGACAAUGGGGGCAACCCUGAUCCAGCAAUGCCGCGUGAGUGAAGAAGGCCUUCGGGUUGUAAAGCUCUUUUGUCAGGGAAGAAACAGCAGCUCUAAUACAGUAUGCGAAUGACGGUACCUGAAGAAUAAGCACCGGCUAACUACGUGCCAGCCGCCGCCGUAA